UACCAGCACCCCGAGUGGUCGGGACGAUUAUUGGGCCUAAAGCAUCCGUAGCCGGUUCUACAAGUCUUCCGUUAAAUCCACCUGCUCAACAGAUGGGCUGCGGAGGAUACUAUAGAGCUAGGAGGCGGGAGAGGCAAGCGGUACUUAGUGGGUAGGGGUAAAAUCCGUUGAUCCAUUGAAGACCACCAGUGGCGAAGGCGGCUUGCCAGAACGCACUCGACGGUGAGGGAUGAAAGCUGGGGGAGCAAACAGG
rnacentral:rRNA from 1 species